AAGGCAAAGAUUUCUAGGAAAGACAACUUCAGCAAAUCUGUAUUAUGAUCCUACUUGCCAAUUUCCUAUUUUUCUAUAGGGUACCUCUUAAGGGCUGGGGUCAUGCGAAUUCAUUCCUGGCUUCUGAAGCAUCAGGAAUGGAACUCUGGCAAUCAUAUCUCUACUGCAUGAUCCAAACCUGGAUGUAGCUGCCUGGAGGGGAGGGCAGGGGCUUGGGCUGUUUGAUUAAAUUAGAUCUACAGAAGUUUGACUUAAUUUUAUUUAUUUAUUUAUUUAUUGCUUUC
rnacentral:lncRNA from 1 species